CGUGAGGUCACUAUAAUUUUAACAAAAGUAAGUGUGAAUUCUUGAACUCUUGUUUAAUUUUUUUCAUGCUUUUCCGACAUAGCUCUCUCGCCCAGUCCUUCCAUUCCAAGACAGUUGUAAUUGGGGGAGCAACGGCCAGAGGCAGAUACAGUGUAUUUGCUACGGAUUCAACCAAUACAGAAUGUAGAUCCUGAUAUUUGGGUUGAGCCACGAGCUCAACUAACCUAUAUCGAUAUUUGCAAUCCAUAGAGGAUUUUCGUAGGACUCUGUCAGAUGAUAGUCAAGACCUUCCACUUAGCCAAGAGUAGAAUGAGAGAAUAUGGUUAGAUGCGGUUGGUAGUCCGAGUAGGUAUGAGUAUGCUUAUGGCUUGCCACAAUGAACUUUUCGUGAAUUUCAUUCGGAACUAGAAGGCCUCAGUAGCUUCCAGGAUGAUGAGUCAACAGGAUGAUGAGUUAAGGAAAAUGAUUUUGGCUUUGAAGCAACAGAUAGCUAAGUUAUCUAAUGAAGCUAAGGCCGCACAGGCAAAGGAAAGGCAAAGGGAUAUACAAUAUGUGGGAAUGAAGGCCCAAUUUGAUGCAUUACUUUCUUGGUGGUGGGGGGGGGGGGGGGGGGGGGGAGAUUCCCCCUUGUCCUGGUGAUGCAGUUCACCCUCCUCCUCUCUACCUAUUUUACAUGGAGUAUAUGGUCAAUACAGAGAUGUGACUGAGGAGCCCAGCAGUGAUGAAAAUGAUGAGGAUUAUUAUGUGUUAAAGUUGAGUGUUGUGUUAGAUAAUCUAAACUAUAUACCUUAUGAUGGUUGAUUUAAAUUAUUAAGUUUUUUUAAUGCAUGAGAGCUUUGAAUUAGUCUAAUCAAUAGUAUUAUUGUAUGAAUAACUUGACUACUAUGUUUUUUCGUUCAAUUUCAAGGUACUCUAAGUUGAUUUUCA